GAUGAACGCUGGCGGCGUGCCUAAUACAUGCAAGUCGAGCGAACAGAUAAGGGGCUUGCUCCUUUGACGUUAGCGGCGGACGGGUGAGUAACACGUGGGUAACCUACCUAUAGGACUGGAAUAACUCCGGGAAACCGGGGCUAAUGCCGGAUAACAUUUAGAACCGCAUGGUUCUAAAGUGAAAGAUGGUUUUGCUAUCACUUAUAGAUGGACCCGCGCCGUAUUAGCUAGUUGGUAAGGUAACGGCUUACCAAGGCAACGAUACGUAGCCGACCUGAGAGGGUGAUCGGCCACACUGGAACUGAGACACGGUCCAGACUCCUACGGGAGGCAGCAGUAGGGAAUCUUCCGCAAUGGGCGAAAGCCUGACGGAGCAACGCCGCGUGAGUGAUGAAGGUCUUCGGAUCGUAAAACUCUGUUAUUAGGGAAGAACAAAUGUGUAAGUAACUGUGCACGUCUUGACGGUACCUAAUCAGAAAGCCACGGCUAACUACGUG
rnacentral:rRNA from 1 species